CGAGUCUUUGAACGCAGCUUGCACUCUAUGGUUUUUCUAUAGAGUACGCCUGCUUCAGUAUCAUCACAAACCCACACAUAACAUUUGUUUAUGUGGUAAUGGGUCGCAUCGCUGUUUUAUUACAGUGAGCACCUAAAAUGUGUGUGAUUUUCUGU
rnacentral:rRNA from 1 species